rnacentral:lncRNA from 1 species
AUUCUCAAGUGAGCCACAGGAAGAGUCCUGUUUUGAGGGCAAGGCUUUUCUUGAAAACUACACUCUCUAUGCAGCUCAUUCCUGAAGAAGGGCUUUGGCAUGUGGAGAUUAUGCCCUCUUGCUAGGGUACUGGAAGGGAUCCAUGUGGUAUUGUCCCAGCAAUAACUCUGCCACAGAGAUAUGCGAUCUCCAGCAGCUGUCGGCAGGCUUCACUCCCAUUCCAUCCUCCUUCCUGCAUCCAGUAGUCUCCCAGCCCCGCCUCACCCUCCCACUGCUCCAGAAGAAUGACAGAACUCAGAGCUGCAAGAGAAAGAAGACUGAAUUCAGUCUCUCUUGCAGAAAAAUUGUUUUCCGUCAAGUUGAUAAUAAUGAUCACACUGAGAAUGAAUGACUCAAGAUGAAUAUCCAAAGAUAUAUCAAAACCUGGUCAGCAGUCGUGGGGAAAGGAAGAAAGCCUGAGUUGAGUUUAUGAAAGUUUUCCACUAAAGUCAGCAACAGCUUAAAUUCAAACCAGGCACAAGACGCUUGAAUCUCCAUAUGAGUUGUUCAUCAAAGGGCUGAAAGAAAAGAAAUCUGAGCCCGAGCACGGUCUGGCCUAAAAGCUUUCAAGUGACUCCUUUCUGGUUUCCUGGGAAUUGGAUGCUGAGAUGAAAAGCAUAUGAGUAGCUUUCUUCCAGCAUUCUUCUUGGUGAUUAACCAACUAUCCAAGUACAAAGUUGCUCCUAAUUAACCCUGAGGACCCCAAUAUAAAGUUGCAAAUGAAAGAAGUCCUGCUACUCUAAAGAAUAACUAAACCAGACUGGAGUCACUGAAACUGAUGGAAGAACAUCUCAGGCAUGAGUGCCAUGGUGACGUCAUCAGCUCCGUUCACAACCACUCACCAUGAGGCCAUUGCUCCUGUGGAGGACACUGGCUUAGGACUCAUGAAGUAGUACCUCAGGAAGGUGUCUCUGUAAGUGUUCCUUCCACCAGCUCCAAGACACAAUGAGAUGGAGAGAACUGGAACAAUUCCCUAUGAUUGCAGCUGGAUAUUUUCACAUGAACUAUCUAGUAAUGAAGGCAAUGGCAUGUGGUGUGGCAAAGACUGGCCCCAGAUUACAUUUCCAGUCCUUUUGUACUGAGGAGGGGCUUUGGGACCAAGACAGUAGGAGUGAGGGUACAGGUUCCACAUUCUAUUUCUCUCUUAGUUUUCUGUGGUUAUCUUGGUGACUGCAUGGUAAAGAUGGAGGUGACAAAAGAUGGAAGGAGCCUGGAUCCCUGAAUGACUUCAUGGUGCAGAGCCUUACACUACCCCCAACUCAUACUAAAACAGGGGUGGGAGGAACAAUAGACCAUUAUUCUGUUAAGGUGCUGAAAUUGUAGAGCUGUUAAUUUGAACAGUUAGAGUUUCUUAUACUGAUACAGUAUCCUUACCCUGGAUUGUUGAAAUAAUUAGUCCAAAUAGUUUCUUUGCCUAAAACUGUGGACAGAGCCUAAGCAAUAUUGAAUCCAAGACAAGGUAUAUUUAUCAUCAAAUGCUACUCACUAUACAAUACAGAUGAAUGUGGCACUUACUUCCCGUGUUGUUACCCAGCCUGCUUCUAGUAUUCUUUACACAAAAUAACAUUCAUGAGCAACCUGG